UACAGAGGGGGCUAGCGUUGUUCGGAAUUACUGGGCGUAAAGGGUGCGUAGGCGGCGCGGUAAGUCGGGUGUGAAAUCCCCCGGCUUAACCUGGGAACUGCGUCUGAUACUGGGAGGCUUGAGUAUGGGAGAGGGAUGUAGAAUUCCAGGUGUAGCGGUGAAAUGCGUAGAUAUCUGGAGGAAUACCGGUGGCGAAGGCGGCAUCCUGGACCAUUACUGACGCUGAGGCGCGAAAGCUAGGGGAGCAAACGGG
rnacentral:rRNA from 1 species